rnacentral:rRNA from 1 species
GACGAACGCUGGCGGCGUGCUCAACACAUGCAAGUCGAACGGAAAGGCCCUGCUUUUGUGGGGUGCUCGAGUGGCGAACGGGUGAGUAACACGUGAGUAACCUGCCCUUGACUUUGGGAUAACUUCAGGAAACUGGGGCUAAUACCGGAUAGGAGCUCCUGCUGCAUGGUGGGGGUUGGAAAGUUUCGGCGGUUGGGGAUGGACUCGCGGCUUAUCAGCUUGUUGGUGGGGUAGUGGCUUACCAAGGCUUUGACGGGUAGCCGGCCUGAGAGGGUGACCGGCCACAUUGGGACUGAGAUACGGCCCAGACUCCUACGGGAGGCAGCAGUGGGGAAUAUUGCACAAUGGGCGGAAGCCUGAUGCAGCAACGCCGCGUGCGGGAUGACGGCCUUCGGGUUGUAAACCGCUUUCGCCUGUGACGAAGCGUGAGUGACGGUAAUGGAUAAAGAAGCACCGGCUAACUACGUGCCAGCAGCCGCGGUGAUACGUAGGGUGCGAGCGUUGUCCGGAUUUAUUGGGCGUAAAGGGCUCGUAGGUGGUUGAUCGCGUCGGAAGUGUAAUCUUGGGGCUUAACCCUGAGCGUGCUUUCGAUACGGGUUGACUUGAGGAAGGUAGGGGAGAAUGGAAUUCCUGGUGGAGCGGUGGAAUGCGCAGAUAUCAGGGGGAACACCAGUGGCGAAGGCGGUUCUCUGGGCCUUUCCUGACGCUGAGGAGCGAAGGCGUGGGGAGCGAACAGGCUUAGAUACCCUGGUAGUCCACGCUGUAAACGGUGGGUACUAGGUGUGGGGUCCAUUCCACGGGUUCCGUGCCGUAGCUAACGCUUUAAGUACCCCGCCUGGGGAGUACGGCCGCAAGGCUAAAACUCAAAGGAAUUGACGGGGCCCCGCACAAGCGGCGGAGCAUGCGGAUUAAUUCGAUGCAACGCGUAGAACCUUACCUGGGUUUGACAUGGAUCGGGAGUGCUCAGAGAUGGGUGUGCCUCUUUUGGGGUCGGUUCACAGGUGGUGCAUGGCUGUCGUCAGCUCGUGUCGUGAGAUGUUGGGUUAAGUCCCGCAACGAGCGCAACCCUUGUUCACUGUUGCCAGCACGUUAUGGUGGGGACUCAGUGGAGACCGCCGGGGUCAACUCGGAGGAAGGUGGGGAUGACGUCAAGUCAUCAUGCCCCUUAUGUCCAGGGCUUCACGCAUGCUACAAUGGCUGGUACAGAGAGUGGCGAGCCUGUGAGGGUGAGCGAAUCUCGGAAAGCCGGUCUCAGUUCGGAUUGGGGUCUGCAACUCGACCUCAUGAAGUCGGAGUCGCUAGUAAUCGCAGAUCAGCAACGCUGCGGUGAAUACGUUCCCGGG